rnacentral:rRNA from 1 species
GACGAACGCUGGCGGCGUGCUUAACACAUGCAAGUCGAGCGGUAAGGCCCUUUCGGGGGUACGACGAGCGGCGAACGGGUAGAGUAACACGUGGGUGACCUGCCCUCAGCUCUGGGAUAAGCCUGGGAAACCGGGUCUAAUACCGGAUAUGACUCCAUGACGCAUGUUGUGGGGUGGAAAGCCUUGUGCGGCUGAGGAUGGGCCCGCGGCCUAUCAGCUUGUUGGUGGGGUGAGGCCUACCAAGGCGACGACGGGUAGCCGGCCUGAGAGGGCGACCGGCCGACACUGGGACUGAGACACGGCCCAGACUCCUACGGGAGGCAGCAGUGGGGAAUCUUGCGCAAUGGGCGAAAGCCUGACGCAGCGACGCCGCGUGAGGGAUGACGGCCU